AAACUUAAAGGAAUUGACGGGGGCCCGCACAAGCGGUGGAGCAUGUGGUUUAAUUCGACGCAACGCGAAGAACCUUACCAGGGCUUGACAUCCCCUGACCGCGUAUGAAAGUACGUUUUCACCCUCGGGUGACAGGGAGACAGGUGGUGCAUGGUUGUCGUCAGCUCGUGUCGUGAGAUGUUGGGUUAAGUCCCGCAACGAGCGCAACCCCUACGUUUAGUUGCUAACAGGUGAAGCUGAGCACUCUAGACGAACUGCCGUUGACAAAACGGAGGAAGGUGGGGAUGACGUCAAAUCAUCAUGCCCCUUAUGACCUGGGCUACACACGUGCUACAAUGGUUGGUACAACGAGUUGCGAGUCGGUGACGGCGAGCUAACCUCUUAAAGCCAAUCUCAGUUCGGAUUGUAGGCUGCAACUCGCCUACAUGAAGUCGGAAUCGCUAGUAAUCGCGGAUCAGCACGCCGCGGUGAAUACGUUCCCGGGCCUU
rnacentral:rRNA from 1 species